GAUGAACGCUGGCGGCGUGCCUAAUACAUGCAAGUCGAGCGAACGGACGAGAAGCUUGCUUCUCUGAUGUUAGCGGCGGACGGGUGAGUAACACGUGGAUAACCUACCUAUAAGACUGGGAUAACUUCGGGAAACCGGAGCUAAUACCGGAUAAUAUUUUGAACCGCAUGGUUCAAAAGUGAAAGACGGUCUUGCUGUCACUUAUAGAUUGAUCCGCGCUGCAUUAGCUAGUUGGUAAGGUAACGGCUUACCAAGGCAACGAUGCAUAGCCGACCUGAGAGGGUGAUCGGACAGACGGGAACUGAGACACGGUACAGACUCCGACGGGAGGCAGCAGUAGGGAAUCCUCCGCAAUGGGCGAAAGCCUGACGGAGCAACGCCGCGUGAGUGAUGAAGGUCUUCGGAUCGUAAAACUCUGUUAUUAGGGAAGAACAUAUGUGUAAGUAACUGUGCACAUCUUGACGGUACCUAAUCAGAAAGCCACGGCUAACUACGUG
rnacentral:rRNA from 1 species